GGCUGGUGGUGUGUCAGGUUGGGGUGGGAGCUGUGGGCUAGAGCAGCAGUAGAACCCAGUGCUCUGUAAGACGGAGGGCGCCCAGUUGUCGGUUCCAGUCCCUUCUAGAGGCACAGAGUCACACGGGCCAAGCCCAACCCGCGGCUGUGCCCUUGGAGACCAGCUGGGACACCUCCCCUGGAAGGCGAGCCCUGUGCAGGGAAAGGCAGUCUGUCUGGGGUACUUUGGGCUGCUGAAGGAAUCGUGGACUGAGGUUCAUGGCCCCUCGGUUGCAUGUCUGACUUCCCCAGGUCCCUGGUAGCCAAGGCUGUCUGCCUCCCCUCACAGCCCAACACCUAUUCAGACUUUCACCAGCCAAGAUGUUCUCUGUACAGAAGAAAACCGACCCGUCAGAGCCAUGAGAAGACAUGCCGACCCGCGGGAGAGUUGUGACCCAGACUGAAAGAGUCAAGUUUGCAUCUUGAUUAGAAGAAGAAAAAAAAAAAACAAAACAAAAAACUCCUGCUGUUCUUAUCCAUGUGUGAUGUCAUAUUCUGAAUACGGUCAUUUCAGGUAUAAAAUUACUUGGAGUUUGGCCACCUUGAACCCUCUGUGAAAUGAGAUGGGAGAGAAGAGAAUUGAAA